AGUAACUAUAAUGUAAGAACAUAAAAUCCUGGGCUCAAUGAAGUCAAUGGCAAAACUUCCAUUGACCUCAGUGGGGCCAGGAUUUAACCCAUUCUUUGUUACACAUUUUGUAUUUCCCUAUAGUUAGAAAAGCCAUCUUGCUGUCUGACCGAGGUAUGAGCCAUUGUCUCCUUGAAAUGCCAAAACUGACAUUACUGUUGUAGAUCAGAGUUCCUCCUCAUGGAUGAAUGUUGACCAUCUUGGAACCUUCACUUUAGACCAUUCUUUAAAAUUAACUUCCUUGAAGCUUCCAAGUUCCCAUGUGACAAACUCAUGGCCAUUCACCAUAUUAAUGCAAUAGAAGGGCAUGGAAUGCUCCAUUUUUUUAAUACCAUUCUCUUAAACAGAAUUUUUACUGAAAAAUGAUACUUUCUGUGGAGACUGUUCAAAACUGGGCAUCUGAGUGCAGUGUGGGGCAUUUAAAAAGGGAUGUUUAUUGCUCCCCGGUAUUUACCUUAUUGCUAUUUUCAGUUUACAUUUAAGUCACAUAAUCAUCAAGUCUGCAGUAUUCACCAUUCCUUAAUCCAUCCUUCCCCUAAAUAAAUAUCAAUAGGGUUCUUUUCCCUAAUAAAAUCAUAGUGAACCCAUCCCCUUUACUAAGAAAUAAUUUAUUUUUGAUUUACUUUAAAGACUGGAUCAUUGUCCUCACAGAGUUAUGGCAGUAGCCAGGGUUCACAAAAUAAUUCAGGCAGCAGUAACCGUGAUUGUGAUCAGAGAUCAUCCAACUGUGCAGGCAACAAGGUUAUUGUUGCCCGGGAUACAUCUCGUGCUCUAAGCAGAAGCAGUUACAAUGGACAGAAUGAGUCCUCUAGCACAAACAGCAGUAGUGCCAAUGUCCAGGGUGGAGCAUUUAUCUCAUUCAACAACACUUCCAACGGCCAGGGAUUACCUUCAGGAGGAAAGCCAUCUGGUGGAGAUGGCUCACAUUCCUCAGAAGACGGCUUCAUAAGCUCUGCUGGGAAACAGUCCAGCCCUAGCCUUUUGCUGCUAUUCAGUGUUUUGAGUGCCUUUGCCACCUCUUCAGUUGUGCCCAAGUGGUUUAUAUGAACAUCUGAAUACGUGACUGGAGACCACAAAAUGUAUUCUGUAAUAAGAUUAAUUUUCUGUAUAAAAUUCUAAUCAAAGUUGAAUAUAUAAUUCGUUGGUUUGUUGUAAUGUCAUUAUGUAUGGUUAAUAUGCCACGCUUUUGAUUAGUUCUACCUUUUUUAGUUUACAGUAUAUGCUGGUUUAUUUUUCACUAUUUUAGGCAUCAUUUGAAAAGGAGAUAUUGUGUCCUAACUAUAUGAAUUUUUAUUUCUAACUGACGUGAUGAAUACCCUAUUUGAAUCUGAUCUAGUUGUGAAUCCAACCACUCUGAAGAUAUCUGGAACCACAUGGCUAUUAACCCAGGGAAAAAAAUAAUAGCGGAUUUUCAUGUGUGCAAGAUGAAGGCUCUCUCUCAUCAUUACAUAAAAUAAAGUCAAUCCUGUAAUUUUUUAUAAAAAAGCC
rnacentral:lncRNA from 1 species